AAUCGGGUGAUUCUGCUUUUCGAUCGCAUCAACUUCGCCCAACGAUCGACGAACGAAAUGCAACGACGAGGGUGCACCGUAAAUUACAUUCAACGUCGAUGCUGCCCUCUAUGCGUUGAAAUUUCCAUUCCAAAUACGAUCUACCUUACCGACUAACACGGGAUUGCGAUUGUUGCACCGGUAUAAGUUGCUUCCGAUGCCGAUGCACCGCAACAUGUUUCAACGCGCAUAGAAAUCUUCACGAGAUACGUUCUUCGAGGUUAAUCCGACGAAGAUACCAGCGAACGAUUUUUACGCGAAUGUGCUUGGAAAAUCUCUGAACAUUUUUGCGAAGCCCUGCGAAUGUACACCGCAUUAUCUGCGAGAUGUCAAGAGGACAAAUUGAUCGUCGUACUAGUUAACAUCGUGAAAUUUUCAAGGAAAUUUUGAUAAUAAUUGAUGGGCUUGAAACUUAGGAUAGCGUUAGUUAAUGACGGAAAAGGAACUAAUUGCGGUUUGUUCGGAUAAGCGUGUAUUCACUGGACGAGAGUCUCCUAUUUAUGCAAUGUAAAAAUUAUGUUUGGUAUCGAUGGUGCCCUCUACACGUUGAAAGCCGCGUGUCUACGGGACUUUGCUCGCCAACCAAGACGGGAAGCGUCGAUAAAAGUUGCCGUUUGAUGGUGAUUCGCCGAUAUCAAACUACAUGCAUCGUAACGUGUAAUCACGAGACCUAAGUGUCGAUGCAUGCGCCGCAACGUGGCUCAACGUGUACAGGGGCCUUUAGCGAUAAGAACACGAGCACAGAUAACGGUCUAUGAUACGACCGGACUAUUAUUAAUAAAUAAUAAAUGUCGAUCGAUGAAAAAUCUUGUCGAAACGUGUACAAGCAUGUACAAUAACGGCCUUCGCGAUUAAGUUCAUUAUUUAAAACUACUGUGUCUAGCGAAUAAACACGACUGUAACAAUGUAUGCCACUCGUAUAUGGGAACAGAACAUAAAUAUAAUUCGUAUGUGUGA